CAACAAUAUUAAAUUUAUUUUUUAUGCGGGUGGGCCCACCACCGUAGCUUGCUGCUGGGGUCCACACGCGUUGCCUGGGCGUUGCACUGCUGCCCUGGCCCGGCGCACCCCAA
rnacentral:snRNA from 1 species